rnacentral:rRNA from 1 species
GAUGAACGCUGGCGGCGUGCCUAAUACAUGCAAGUCGAGCGAACAGAUAAGGAGCUUGCUCCUUUGACGUUAGCGGCGGACGGGUGAGUAACACGUGGGUAACCUACCUAUAAGACUGGAAUAACUCCGGGAAACCGGGGCUAAUGCCGGAUAACAUUUAGAACCGCAUGGUUCUAAAGUGAAAGAUGGUUUUGCUAUCACUUAUAGAUGGACCCGCGCCGUAUUAGCUAGUUGGUAAGGUAACGGCUUACCAAGGCAACGAUACGUAGCCGACCUGAGAGGGUGAUCGCCCACCCUGGAACUGAGACACGGUCCAGACUCCUACGGGAGGCAGCAGUAGGGAAUCUUCCGCAAUGGGCGAAAGCCUGACGGAGCAACGCCGCGUGAGUGAUGAAGGUCUUCGGAUCGUAAAACUCUGUUAUUAGGGAAGAACAAAUGUGUAAGUAACUGUGCACGUCUUGACGGUACCUAAUCAGAAAGCCACGGCUAACUACGUG